rnacentral:lncRNA from 1 species
GUUGAGUUGCGUAAUAGCGGAUUCGUAGGUCAAUAAAUCGUUGGAUUUGAAAUCGAACUCUCUACCUUGGGCGGAUAGGAAUUGAGACUUUCAAUGGUCCGCUCUUCUCUCCUCGUGAUCGAAGCUGACCCCAGAAGUUGGGUAUUCCUUCUUAAGAGGACACUAACCCUCCCGAUCUUGCUAGCCGGGGGCUCAGUCUUUCAAGAUUCUUUCCCCCUUUGGGAUAGUCACUUCCGCAUUGGGGGUUUGGCCGUACUCCCUUUGCUCGAGUUACUCACUGGACGGAUUCCACUCCGUUCUUCGUUGCAGAACUACGUUCCUUUCCUCUUUUCAGAACUCAAAACAAAAGUGAGUUAUUCCUAUCUCUUAAAGAGAGCCGCUUAUCGAAUAAAUAAUCAAUAAAUCAUCAACUAUUUCACCGGGGAUGAUAUUCUAUUAAGUUCUAUCACAUCGGAUUCUAGUAAAGAGAUGGGCCUUCUCGUCUGAUCUCUGCAUCAACAGGAAUGCGGGAAAAGCUUCUUCUUCCGC